rnacentral:sRNA from 1 species
CAAAAUCAAUUCUGUCUACAGUAUUUUGUUCUUCUGAUAAAACAGGUCGCCUUUCCUCAGUCAAAGAACGAUGUGAUUCUGUUUUGCAAUAAACUGUAUCUAUUUUUUCAAUUAAAUCGGCAGAUCGUUCCUCUUGAUCUAGGUGAACAUUCUGCACUCCUGUAAUCAUGGUCAAACUCAAACCCAAAAUGUGACAACGGUGCUUCUUUUGCAGUCAACACAUCAUCUGAGACGAGCUCCAUAUCACUAGCAGUAUUUGGUCCUUCUCAUGCGGUACGCUCAACUUCAGUACACAAAGAAUCGUUUUAGUCUAACUCCCUAUAAGCUAUUCUGACACUCAAACUACCACACUGUAUCACUGGAUUUCCACUAAUAAAUUCUGCUGAUAGCAGGGACGGGGAUCUUGCAAAAUAUCAGGAUGGAGUGCAAUUGUUGCCUUAAAAUGGAGAAAAUGUAACAGAUGUGUCUCCAAAAAGAGAACUUUCCAGGUCAACUGCUGCUUCAUUGUCAUACUAGCUUUGACAAUUGAGGUCAUCAUUUGAGGUGAACCCUGGAGAAGAAAUGCAAUAAGAUGCCAAUGUACUCCCUAUGGUAGGUUUGGCUGGGGAGUAAAUGGAUUUCAAAGAGCAUGAAUCCUCAGCAGGCCCAAUGCUUGAGGUACAAAAAUAGCUUUAAGAUAAUGGGUGCCCUCAAUAGGUUCAAUGCCUUCGAUAGUGCCCCGUCCUACGCACAGCGCAUCAUGGCACUCGUGGGGCAUACCAUUUCUGGCAUCAUGAUAAUCUUUAGAACUCUAACUGCUGUGUAGUAGCUGCAUUUCCAGCGAAGAAAACAUUAACAUCUGGCAUUUCUUGAUUGUUUCUAUUCCCAAAUUUUGCUGAAUAUGGUAUAAUAUUUUCUGAAAAGGUUGCUUCAGAUAACAAACAUUAACAUCCUCAAAACCAGGAAAUGAAUAGGCCAGAAUGCUGAGACUGCUCUCCCUAGUGACAGGCUGCAAAGGAAGAUUGGAAUCAGCAGAGAAAUUCAUUGGCAGCUGCUUUGUUGGGUGGAGUAUGCUUUUUGUAUCCACGGGCUACUUGUACCUGGGAGGUUUCACAGAAGAAAUAUUCCACUAAAUCACCUCUCGGGAUUGAUUUGAGCACCACCACCAUGUGAUACGGGAGCUUUUCCCUAAAACAAUUAGUCAAACAAAUGAGGUGCUGAAAGCCAAAUUUCUCCAAGAAUGAGAAAUAAAAUCUUGUACCAACUCAGACAUACAUUUUCGUAACAGAUUACCUGAGUGAAAGAUCCCACUGAGGGUGAAGGCAUCUGAAGUGCUGAUGGUUUAGCAGACAUUGGUGCAGGGAUAACAACAGAACUGGAGGGGUUGUUUUGUGAAUAUGGUAUAAAAGUUUGCAUUUCCCAGAACCAAAGCUUGUUCAUGGGUCGCAGUUACAAAAGG